AGUGAACGCUGGCGGUAGGCCUAACACAUGCAAGUCGAACGGCAGCACAGUAAGAGCUUGCUCUUACGGGUGGCGAGUGGCGGACGGGUGAGGAAUACAUCGGAAUCUACUUUUUCGUGGGGGAUAACGUAGGUAAACUUACGCUAAUACCGCAUACGACCUACGGGUGAAAGCAGUGGAUCUUCGGACCUUGCGCGAUUGAAUGAGCCGAUGUCGGAUUAGCUAGUUGGCGGGGUAAAGGCCCACCAAGGCGACGAUCCGUAGCUGGUCUGAGAGGAUGAUCAGCCACACUGGAACUGAGACACGGUCAAGACUCCUACGGGAGGCAGCAGUGGGGAAUAUUGGACAAUGGGCGCAAGCCUGAUCCAGCCAUACCGCGUGGGUGAAGAAGGCCUUCGGGUUGUAAAGCCCUUUUGUUGGGAAAGAAAAGCAGCAGGUUAAUACCCCGCUGUUCUGACGGUACCCAAAGAAUAAGCACCGGCUAACUUCGUG
rnacentral:rRNA from 1 species